ensembl:lncRNA
ACCAUCAUUGGGCAUGGUGAGGAUGGGGAUCUGAGUGAUGGACCCCCCAUCCCAUAACACCCCAUAUGACCCCAUAACACCCCAUAACACCCCAUCGGACCCCAUACACCCCAUAUGACCCCAUAACUCACCAUCAUUGGGCAUGGAGAGGAUGGGGAUCUGAGUGAUGGACCCCCCAUCCCAUAACACCCCAUAUGACCCUAUAACACCCCAUACACCCCAUAACAUCCCAUAAUAUACCGUCAUUGGGCAUGGUGAGGAUGGGGAUCUGCGUGAUGGACCCCCCAUCCCAUAACACCCCAUAUGACCCCAUAACACCCCAUACACCCCAUAACACCCCAUAACUCACCGUCAUUGGGCAUGGUGAGGAUGGGGAUCUGCGUGAUGGACCCCCCAUCCCAUAACACCCCAUAUCCCCCCAUAACACCCCAUAUGACCCCGUAACACCCCAUCUGACCCCAUACACCCCAUAUGACCCCAUAACUCACCGUCAUUGGGCAUGGUGAGGAUGGGGAUCUGCGUGAUGGACCCCGCAUCCCAUAACACCCCAUAUGACCCCAUAUGACCCUAUUACACCCCAUAUGACCCCAUAACUCACCAUCAUUGGGCAUGGUGAGGAUGGGGAUCUGUGUGAUGGACCCCCCGCGCCCGCCGACCCUCCCGGCCCUCUCAUAGAUGCUCGCCAGGUCUGUGUACAUAUAGCCCGGGAAGCCGCGCCGCCCCGGGACCUCCUCACGCGCUGCCGACACCUGUGGGGCAAUGGGGCUAUGGGGCAGCCAUAGGGCAACCCACAGGGGGACCCCAUAGGGCAGCCAUAGGGCACACAUAGGGCAGCCAUAGGGCAGCUAUAGGGCAGCCAAUAGGAACCUCCUCACGGGCUGCAGAUACCUGUGGGGCAAUGGGGCUAUGGGGCCGAUGUUGGGCACACAUAGGGCAGCCAUAGGGCAGCCAAUAGGGCACCCCAUAGGGCACAGCAUGGGGGACCCCAUAGGGCAGCCAUAGGGCAGCCAUAGGGCAGCUAUAGGGCAG